CACACUAAUGACAGGCUUCUCAUGCAUUUAUUGAUGAAAAUAAUAUUUUGGGGAGCUGGCCGGCCUGCAGACAACAUUAUUGCUUUUGCAUGGAAAGCAGAGAUGAAUGCUGCAACUGCUGGUGAGGUGCUGGAAAGGUUAGGAAGGAAAUACAAAAAUACAGAAGGAAAGACUGGAGAAGAAGGUGAAUCAAAAUCCCUCUCUGAUCAGGUGAUUUACAGGCAGGAAAGUAGUGGUGGAUUGAAGAAGACUGAUGUGAACUUAAAAAGGUAAAUGAAGGAAAAGGCAAUUCUGGUAUUUUUCAACCUGUGCAAUAAGUUUAUAUAAAUAUGAGCCUUUAACUGGUAGAAAACCUGUUUCAGUGGUCAUUUCAUGGAGUUCAUGGGGGUCUUUUUAUCUUAUUUUUUAAACAUAGGGACCAAGUAGAAAAACAUCAGAAUUCAUUUUAUAUAAUGCACACAGGUGUGAGCAAUCAGAAUCUUAAACGGUUCAUAUUUGCAGAGAACUGGGAGUGUUUGUUUUUGUUUUGUCGCUAGAUUUUGAAACAAUAUAACUGAUUAAUAGUGUAAAGAUCGGCAAAAUCUAAUCAGUCAGUGGUAUAAACCGUAUCAAUUUGUUUUGGUUGAGUUCGCCAAUGUUGGCUCUCUUAAAAAUUGGAUAAUCCCCCAUGAAAUUUGGUAUAAAUCAAACAAACAAAAUAUUGGAGACAGAUGUGAACCUUGUUUACGGGACUGACCCCGUGGCUGGUGUAAUGUGAGAAAGGUAAUGGGGUGAACGAGGCUGGUGAAGUAAAAGCCAAACCAAUGACAGUUAGCCAACACAAGGCAUCAAGAGGGCAGCAAAGAGAAGAAAAUCAAUAUCUAAUUUUGCAGGCAAACAUCCGCACAUGAACCUCGAAAGGUGAUUUGUGUGUCUGCGUCUUUCUGCAUUCUUUAGAAAACAAUGUUGCGCCUCCUAAUCCUCCCAGAGAUUAAAACUGUUUGAUGGAUUAAUUAUUCCUUACCUUGUUGUCUCUGUGACUGCUCUGCCUCAGCCUCCACUGUUAGUUGAUUAGAAAAGAUUAGUUGAUUGAUCUGUCAGUGGUAGGUUGCAAUCAGAAAAUAUCAGUCAACAGGAAUAAAAAAGAAUAACAAGUAUUCUUCCACUGCCAGUCUGUAUCCACUGAAACAUUGUGUCCAAUUUUGUGAAGGGUGGGAUGAAUAAGUAAGGAAUUUAUUAUUGGAUAGAUGGAUGGAUUUGUGUCUAAUGGAUAGAGUGAAUUAAAUAAAUAAGUCUUUAUGACAUUAAUACCAUACAUGAGCAACACUAAUGCAACCAGAUAUUCUAUCUCAAAUUGUAUAGCCCAUUGACCUGAUGAAUAAAAUGUAAUGCUAAAAUGAGUAGUGCCUUUUAAGCUCAGUUUUGUUCUCCAUAAUUAUCCCCAGAAAUAUGCUCUUUGGCUGUUUUGCUAAGCUCUCGAUUUCCAUUUGUUGCACCUGCUAAUUAAUUGUACCUGAUAUCAGGAGACUGAGUUGGUCCAGAUGAAAUAACUGUGGAGGAAUGGAGAUGUCUAGGAGAGAAAGCAGCGGACUUUCUGACCAGAUGGUUAAAUACAAUCUUGGAGACCGAGAAAAAGCCUGAGGAAUGGGGAAUGAAGUGUGGCUGUACUGAUUUUCAAGAACAAGGGGUGUGUGCAGGACUGUAGUAAUUACAGAGGCAUACAUUUGAUCAGCCACACCAUGAAGAAAGAGGAAAAGAAUUGUUGAAGCUUACUUAAGGAAAGAAGAGUGCUACAGAAGCUAGUUUUGCUUUGAGGGUGCUGAUGGAAAAGUAUGGAGAAGGGAAGGAGUUGCAUUGUGUCUUUGUGGAUCCAGAGAACGCUUACCAUUGGGUGCCAAGAGAGGAACUGUGGUAUUAAGGAAGUCAGGAGUGGCAGAGAAGUAUGUUGGGUAUGUGAGGUGGAUAGUUGGCGUGACGGUUGGGUUAAAGGUGAAAAUGGAAUUGCAUUUUGGUUGCAAUAGUGGUGGACAGGUUGACAGAUGAGGUCAGACGGGAGUCUCCAUGGACUUCAUUGUUUGCAGAUGAUAUUCUGCUUUUAUAAUCUGCAGUGAAAGUAGGGUAGAAGAAAAGUAGGUGGAAGAGAGCCUGGAGAAGAGGAAUGAAGGUCAGUGUGUGCAAGACGGAAUACCUGUGUGUGAAUGACAGGUGGUACACUGAAGAUGAAUGGAGUAGAGGUAGUGAAAGAGUGAGUUUAAAUACAUGGGCGUCAACCAUCCAAAGCAAAGAAUGUUGCACAAGAGAGGUGAAGAAGAGAGUGCAGGCAGGGUGGACACAAGGAUAGCGGCAAAGGUGAAAGGGAAGGUCUACAAGACGGCAAUGAGACCCGCUAUAAGACGUAUGGCUUGGAGACAGAGGCACUGAAUAAAAGACUGGAAUUGGCAGAGCUGAAGAUUUGCUGAGAUUUUAUUUGGGAGUGACCAGGAUGAACGGGAUUAGGUUUGGUCACGUGCAGAGGUGGAAUAGUGAUUAUAAUGGACAAAGAAUGUUGAAGAUGGAGCUGCCAUGCAGGAGGAAAAGAAGAAGACCACAAGGGAGGUCCAUGGAUGUUUUGAAGAUGGACAUGAGGACAGUUGGCAUAACAAAAGAAGACACAAGGGAUAGGACAAGAUGGAGGCAGCUGAUCCACUAAAGGGAGAAGCCUCAAGAAGAAGAUUUGUAAACUGAGAAUUAAUUAAUUUUACUAUUCUGCCUCUGUUUGGUAUUUUUGAACAGUAUAAUGCAUCCUUCUAAAAAUGGGCUCUGUCAAGACCUUACAGAGGGAGCAUUUGUGUGUAUACAGCAGCAGUGCUGGAACGACAAGAGGAGUUUAUCCCACCAUUUUUGAGCAGCAAAAUCCACUUUGCAUGGGCCUUCUUUGUGUUUUCAGUCAGACUCUGACCUGUUUGUUGCCACCUUGCUUUACUAGCACAAUGUCCAUCUGUCGCAUGUAAAAUCAAUCUAACGUCACGAGGUAACAAAAGAUCGAAACUCUACUAUACUGAGAAACACAGAGAAAUUCAUGUGACAAUAAUGUCUGAAUGUAACAGGCAUUUGUUUAUAACAGUUUUAAGCCAUUUUACUAAAUUAUUGUACAUGCUUAUUUGUUUGGGAGGCCAUGCUCCAAUCAUUCAGUGACAUCACUUUGGAAACAAGAGAGCCAAAUAAAUGCAAUUCAAUAUCCUCCUGAAGUCUCUUUGCAGACUCAGUUGAGUGAAAGAUUAGAUUGUCUUUGUGGCAAUAGCUUUAAGCCUCUGUGAUGGCCCUGUGCACCGUAAAAAUAAACUGGUAAUAUUCACUCUGUUUCACCACACUCAAUAACGAUUAUGGUCCUACACGCACACACACAUUAUCACAGGUUUUGUUAUUGUCUUUCCAAUUUCCAAUUAUAGAAUUUUUUUUAUUGCUACUUUUGGCACUACACUGUAUUCUACAUGAAGCUUGCACAUUUGGUUUGAAAUGGUUUUGUCACUGUUUUUUUUUUCUCUGAAUUACUGUGUCUGCAGCAGUCCAAGUCCUCCUUAAACCUCCUGGUUUAGCCAAAAAUAUGUGACUGAGGGUGGACAUUUGCACAGUCCAAGAGUCGAUCAGAGCACAAUCUGUGAAAUUCGUCAAAUCCAGUGAGAUGACAUUUGGGUUUAGACCGGCCCCCACUUAAGCAGACUGGACACUCACUGGCCCCAAGGUCAUUUGAGUUUGACACCCCUGGAUGAAAAUGGAAAUAAUGAGACCUCGGAGCAAUUAUGCUGCUCCAUCACCUUGUUCACUACAGCAUGAUAAUGACAAGAUGUUCCAUAAUAUACCCUUAUCAGAUGAGUUGCUAUAUAUAUGUGUGUGUGUGUGUAGAAGUCGAUGGAUACGUAGAGUACUUUCAACAGUAGUGUAGUGAAUGAUAGAUGACGUAUUAAACAUUGAGGCCACAAGAGGUUCGAGUGAUGAAACUCACUUUCAUUCAGAGGUUUCAUGGUGAGCGAUAAAAACCAGCAGCUGACAUGUAUCUCAUUCCAUUUAUAACAGAACUGUAUCUGUAAACUGUCAGCCGAUCACUGAGAUUUAUUAACCAUUACAUCAAAAAAAAUAUUCACUCAAAGCCUCUGCAAAAAUUCCGAGCAGAUAGUUCCUCCGUUUGUUAAGAUUAUACAGACAUCGCCAUGUUAAUUUACAUUUACACAAGUAUAAGCAACAAUUGUAUAUUAAAGCAUGUGACGGAUUCCAAUCCUAAUUACAUUACACAGACACAUGCGGUAAUCAUAGCAUCCUAUUUGAGUUUUCACCGACAUGAUCAUUUAUGAGCCAAUAGCAACUUAUGUAAAUAUAGUAAAAGUAAUGUCCCAUUGAGAAUAGGUAAAUAGUUUGGAUUAUUGGUGUCAAUAUUAAAGUCUCUGUUGGUCGCUUCCUG